rnacentral:rRNA from 1 species
UACAGAGGUGCCAAGCGUUAGGCGGAGUCACUGGGCUUAAAGCGCGUGUAGGUGGGUCGUUAAGUGUCCGCGUGAAAUCCCACGGCUCAACCGUGGAACUGCCGGGCAUACUGGCGAUCUUGAGGCAUUCAGGGGCGAGCGGAACAAAUGGUGGAGCGGUGAAAUGCGUAGAUAUCAUUUGGAACGCCAAUGGUGAAAACAGCUCGCUGGGAAUGAUCUGACACUGAGACGCGAAAGCCAGGGGAGCGAACGGG